rnacentral:misc_RNA from 1 species
AUUCCGUAGGUGAACCUGCGGAAGGAUCAUUAAAGAGAAUAUGCCCUUCGGGGUAGAUCUCCCACCCUUUGUUUAUAUUACCUUUGUUGCUUUGGCAGGCCCGUCUUCGGACCACCGGCUUCGGCUGGUCAGUGCUUGCCAGAGGACCCAAAACUCUUAUUAUUAAUGUCGUCUGAGUACUAUAUAAUAGUUAAAACUUUCAACAACGGAUCUCUUGGUUCCG